GUAAGGAAUAUUGAUCAAUGGACGCAAGUCUGAACCAGCCAUGCCGCGUGGAGGAUGAAGGCCCUCUGGAUUGUAAACUUCUUUUAUCUGGGACGAAACACUUCUUUUCUAAGAGGCCUGACGGUACCAGAGGAAUAAGCACCGGCUAACUCCGUGCCAGCAGCCGCGGUAAUACGGAGGGUGCGAGCGUUAUCCGGAUUUACUGGGUUUAAAGGGUUCGUAGGUGGGCUUAUAAGUCAGUGGUGAAAUCUCCGAGCUUAACUUGGAAACUGCCGUUGAUACUAUAGGUCUUGAAUUAUCUGGAGGUAAGCGGAAUAUGUCAUGUAGCGGUGAAAUGCUUAGAUAUGACAUAGAACACCAAUUGCGAAGGCAGCUUACUACAUAUAAAUUGACGCUGAGGCACGAAAGCGUGGGGAUCAAACA
rnacentral:rRNA from 1 species